CAGCCAUACAGACCAGACUGACAGCCAGUGAAUGCAAGAAUGCAGAGUUGGAGUCCAAAAUCAACGCCAGUGAAAAUGUGGUCAAGGAGCUCCAGAGAGAGAACACAGUGUUGGAGGCCAGAAUGACCGCCAGUGAAAAUGAGAUGGAGGAGC